UUGAGAGCUUGCUUUUAUUAUUUUAGCGGCGGACGGGUGAGUAACGUGUGGGCAACCUGCCUUUUACUGGGGAAUAAUCACUGGAAACGGUGACUAAUACCGCAUAAUAUUCUUAGGAGGCAUCUUCUGAGAAGGAAAGGAGAAAUUCGGUAAAAGAUGGGCCCGCAUCUGAUUAGCUAGUUGGUGAGAUAACAGCCCACCAAGGCGACGAUCAGUAGCCGACCUGAGAGGGUGACCGGCCACAUUGGGACUGAGACACGGCCCAAACUCCUACGGGAGGCAGCAGUGGGGAAUAUUGCACAAUGGGGGAAACCCUGAUGCAGCAACGCCGCGUGAAGGAAGACGGUUUUCGGAUUGUAAACUUCUAUCAAUAGGGAAGAAAGAAAUGACGGUACCUAAAUAAGAAGCCCCGGCUAACUACGUGCCAGCAGCCGCGGUAAUACGUAGGGGGCAAGCGUUAUCCGGAAUUACUGGGUGUAAAGGGAGAGUAGGCGGCAAGGUAAGCGAUAUGUGAAAGCCUUAGGCUUAACCUGAGGAUUGCAUAACGAACUAUCUAGCUAGAGUACAGGAGAGGAAAGCGGAAUUCCUAGUGUAGCGGUGAAAUGCGUAGAUAUUAGGAAGAACACCAGUGGCGAAGGCGGCUUUCUGGACUGAAACUGACGCUGAGGCUCGAAAGCGUGGGGAGCGAACAGGAUUAGAUACCCUGGUAGUCCACGCUGUAAACGAUGAGUGCUAGGUGUCGGGGAGGAAUCCUCGGUGCCGGAGCAAACGCAAUAAGCACUCCACCUGGGG
rnacentral:rRNA from 1 species